GAGUUUUGAUCCUGGCUCAGGAUGAACGCUAGCGGCAGGCCUAACACAUGCAAGGUCGAGGGGCAGCACGUUAAGAGUUUACUCUUUAUGGUGGCGACCGGCGGACGGGUGCGUAACGCGUAUGCAACCUGCCUGACACAGGGGGAUAAUCCGAAGAAAUUUGGUCUAAUACCCCAUAAUACCGAUAUAGGCAUCUAUGUUGGUUGAAAGCUUUGGUGGUGUCAGAUGGGCAUGCGUUGUAUUAGCUAGUUGGUGAGGUAACGGCUCACCAAGGCGACGAUACAUAGGGGGACUGAGAGGUUAACCCCCCACCACUGGUACUGAGACACGGACCAGACUCCUACGGGAGGCAGCA
rnacentral:rRNA from 1 species